rnacentral:rRNA from 1 species
CAGUCGCCACGGGAAUACGUAGGGUGCGAGCGUUAAUCGGAAUUACUGGGCGUAAAGCGUGCGCAGGCGGUUGUGUAAGACAGGUGUGAAAUCCCCGGGCUUAACCUGGGAACUGCGCUUGUGACUGCACAGCUAGAGUAUGGCAGAGGGGGGUGGAAUUCCACGUGUAGCAGUGAAAUGCGUAGAGAUGUGGAGGAACACCGAUGGCGAAGGCAGCCCCCUGGGCCAAUACUGACGCUCAUGCACGAAAGCGUGGGGAGCAAACAGGAUUAGAUACCCGCGUAGUCCCUGUCUCUUAUAC